GGAUUUGGCUCAGUGGUAGAGCGCUUGCCUAGCAAGCGCAAGGCCCUGGGUUCGGUUCCCAGCUCCG
rnacentral:tRNA from 1 species